rnacentral:rRNA from 1 species
GACGUAGGGCGCGAGCGUUGUCCGGAUUUAUUGGGCGUAAAGAGCUCGUAGGCGGCUUGUUACGUCGUUCGUGAAAACCCGAGGCUCAACCUCGGGCUUGCGGUCGAUACGGGCAGGCUAGAGUUCGGUAGGGGAGACUGGAAUUCCUGGUGUAGCGGUGAAAUGCGCAGAUAUCAGGAGGAACACCGGUGGCGAAGGCGGGUCUCUGGGCCGAUACUGACGCUGAGGAGCGAAAGCGUGGGGAGCGAACAGG